ACUGUGUGAGCCAGCGAGAAGAAGUCAGUCCCCUCCUGCUCGGGCCAGUGCUGGGGCUCACCAGGUCACACAGAGCAGCUUCUGUCAGGGAGAGACUGGGCAGAUGCCGCCCCAGCGAUGGAUGAGCCCUGGAGGAGCGACUGGCUGCCUGUUGGUAACGUCCCACGGCUCUGGAGGAGGACGGGGCUGGAUCAGGCUUUACUUUGCCUGUGUGAAGCCACAAGAGAGAUUUAGGUGGGCAGGAGGGGUGCUGAGGCACAUGCAAGGGCAGACCGACUGACUGCAGCCCUGUUACACAAGCCAAUGCAGUUCCCCAACAGAGGAGGCUUGCUCCUUCCUCCCUGCAAAGCCAGGGAGAAAUUCUGGGCCCAUCAGUUGCUCAGGGCCCAAAGAGAACCCUUUUAAAGGGGCUGAAGGAGUUUGAAUGCCUGAAAAGUAAUAACAGCAGAACAAAGUCCAGCAUUGUUGGAAGUAGAUGAUCUUCAAGGUCCCUUCCAACCCAAACCAUUCUAUGAUUUAAGAGCAAGCACCGCAGUUUUCCUUGUGAGAAGGGCAGAGGCGAAGUAAAGGACGGCAAGACAAGGUUUAGUUGGCAGCAGUGAAUGGGGCUUCUCCCUGCCAAGACCCAGCCUCGCCUCUCUCAGGAUAUUUUUCAAAUCCAACCCUGGCACACCAGCAGAGCUUCACCUCAAUGGGCCUCUUUCUGCUCCUCCUCUCCCUUCCCUCUGGAGGGGAAAGUUGCAAACUCAGGCCAGUGACCAUCUCUGUGGACCCAGGGAUGGUGGCCAACUGCCAGCGGGGAAACUCUGCAAGAGGAGGAGGGCUCUCAGACUUUCAGCCUCCUCGCUGACCACGAUACUCGGCAGCUUGGUACCUUAUUUUGUAAAACCAGGGAAACUGGCUCCUGAUGUUGGCCGUGGAGGUCCUUUGGCUUUCCCCCGCCCCGAGGAAUCGCCAGGAAUUGCUGUGCCGGUUGCCCUGGCAAGGAGCCUUGCACCCACC